UUAAGCGGGCACUAGUGAGGGUCCCAAAGCUGUCCGCUUAAUACAGGUUUCACUGUAGUUACCUUUUACAUGGGAUCCGUUAGCCGAGAGGCUGAUGUUAUGACCUUACAAGUCCGUGUCGCGAUCUGAUUAGCUUAGCCUCGUUGACUUUUCGCUCACAACAUGGCAACUCGAUCAGUCUCGUCGUCUAAUUGUUAAAAGUUCAAAUAUGAAUUAAGAGCAGCUACUCAAUCUUUUACACUUUUUCUAGGUUUAAGGACAAUAACAUCAUCGACAAGGACUUGUUCAACUAUAGCAAUACUCUUGAAAUUCCUGACGUGACUGGUCUGACUGGAAGUUUCCGUUGUCGCGUAACAAAUCAGUUUGGUUCAGAAUUUUCAGCUUCAGCUGAGUUGAUAGUAUUGGAAAAAUCUGCGGACUCUUGCUCUCCAACACCUAUUUCCAAGAACGAGACAUUGCCUACCGGUUGCACUAUUGAUGGCAAAAACACCACGAGCGUAGACGUUGGAGAGUGUAAACCUGCUGCAUGCGUGUCGGAAAAUACAACUUUCAAUUCUUCAUCAUGCACGGAACCUUCCCUAUGCUGUGGGCCUCGCUCGUAUGACAGUGUUCUAGUUCAGUGUAGGGCCCUUGUAUCGUUCAAUCUCUCCAUAAUUAAAACUUGUGGGUGUGGAAAAUGCAUAGAAAAACAAACGAUGAUACGAGGUAAAGUUAUAGGUCAAGAUGACAGCGCAGCCAUUUUAGUGGAACUAAUAUUUGCUGGAGAACUGGUUGAUAGAACCGAUGCAAAUGGCGACUUUUCUUUCGCUGUUCCAAAAAAAACGAAAAGGGUGAUUGUGACUUUUAGAGAUCGGAUUAUCAAAAAAUUUCAAGAAGAAGACAAAAUUUUUAACUUAAAUGAAGGACAGACAGUCACGUAUCGAGUGAAACUAAGAGAAAAACCAAAGCCUAUCACUUUUAAUGCCUCAGAACCAUUAGAAUUGCCGUUAGGUGGCGAGUCAGAUAGUUUUGCUGACCUUGAAAUACCGGAAAAUUCCCUCUUGACUCAAGAUGGUUCUGUUUUCAGUGGAAAUGCAAAAGUCACAGUCAGUGUCACCGAUCCUCGUAACCAAUCUGACAUUCUGACAGCUCCGGGAGAUUUUACUACCAUGAAUGAAGAUGGCGAGGUAGAGAUGUUAGAAACGUACGGCAUGAUAAAGCUGAAUUUAGAAGAUGACAAUGGAAAACCCCUGGCUAUGUCUAAACCCAUGAAAGUGUAUUUAGAUCCGGAAAAGCUAAAUAUAACUGUGUCCGAUGGAAAUGCCUCAGUAAAACUUUACUGGCUCGACAGGAAAACGGGUCGUUGGAGGGAGACUGGUGAUUUUAUUCCUGAAGAUGGGAGCAACAGAAGAAGAAAGCGUUCAAAUCGUAUCUUUCUUGCUGGAAGUGUGACACCAUCCAUAGCACAAGAAUAUAUUAACCUUGAUUGGCCGUCGAGGAUCGUAGGUUUAAGAGUAACUACUGAUACAGAAGAAAGUGGCGUCAUGAUAACAGCUAUUCGCAAAGAUCACAAAGGGAUGCCAAAGGCAGCUACGUCAGGAUCAGAUAAAGUUGUGUGCCUUCAGUUCAGGUGCCCAAGACAAAAUGACCACACGGCCCUACUUCUGACGCCAAUGACGUCAAAAGCAACUUGCAUCCUAACGCAAACGGAUGCAGACUUGGAUAAACCCCAGUCAAAUAAAGGCUAAUGUCCUGGUUCCUUCCCCCCCACUAAAGGACAAGAGAAAUGGCUAUGCAUCCCUUAUUCGGACAGCGAAUUGUAUAGCACUUACACAGGGAUUGAGAACGGUGAAGCUCGAUGUCUAAGAGGUCAACAACGCUAUGAUGGCACAGACACUACACUAAUACGCGACGCAGGGUUUUCCGUUAAAUAUGAUUGCAGUUAAAUCAACAUGACGAUUUUCAAGCAAUGGCCACAUGGGAUCCCCAGCACUUUCCAGAAGUGUGACAUCAUUAUUGUAUAAAUCAGUUUUUAGGCUAUGCAUUUUAUCAAAAAGCACUUAGGUAGCAUUCCGCGUUACAUUAAACCUAUAACCAAUCUAGCUUGGCCUUUUAAACAAGUUUCUCUUAGCGUCGUUUUGAGUAUAGUAAGACGGCUUUCUAGUCAAAUUGUUGAAACGGUAAAGUUAGAGAAGUAUACAGUCGAACCUCUCCGAAACGGCCACCGUCAGGACAGAGGAAAGUGCUUGUUGUAGAGGUGGCCGUUAUGGGGAGGUAGGGGUGUAAUAUGACACCUGUUUUUUUUUUUGUUUUUGUUUUUUUUUUCCUCGGGUACAACACUUUUUUUUCACAAAAUGCUUAUUUUGGCAAAUAGUAAUCAAAAUGUAUCAGUAAAACAGAAACUUGACAGGAAGAGAGACCAAAGACGCGCGGUUCGGAUCAAGUUUCGUCACCUUUCCCGGGAUGUCCAAUGGGUGGAAAUCGAUGAUCGGAAAAGCAAUCGAUCAAUCGAUAUCAACACAUAAAAUUAGUUAAUUGAUGUUGAUUAGUAUCGAUCGUCAUCGACUGGAUACCCUGAGCCUUUUGCAUUUAAAAAACGAAUUUUACUAUGCACCGUUCGUCAGUCGUUGAUUACUGUGAAACUCAGAAAACCGUGAACACUUUGAUUCGAUUCAGAACGUUUAAUUGUGUAAUGAACUAUUAAAUCACGGCUAUCUUUAAAACGAGGAACGGGGAAUCGGGAAAUAGGACUGGCCGAAUGGUGAACGGUAAACGGAGAACGGGGAAUCUUUAAAAUGGGGAUUCUUUAAAAGCGGGUAUCGUUAAAAUGGGGAAUCUCUAAAAGCGGGAAUCUUUAAAAUGGGGAAAAUAAAAACAUCUCCUAACGAGCCUUGCCCUAUCGCAUUUUGUUCGCCGAGAUCAUUCCACUUAAACUGUGGAAGACCUUCAAAGCGACCGAUUCUUUUUUUCUUUAAAGUGAAAGCAAUGGGCACUGUAAAAUUGUCUUCGCAAGACCGCAUUGCGUAGAAAGAGGUAUCAUGAAGCACACAAUGACGGACUAUACGCGAAAUUCCUGCCAAAAUCUCUAACAACCGACAGAUGAGAGUUUGUAAGUCAGAUAGCAUCUAAUGUUGUCAUGGAGUAGUAAAUUCUCCUCAACUCCUAGCUUAAAAAUUAAGCUAAUACAAUUACGUCACAGAGCACCGCCGCUGCAUCGUUCUAAUUACUGUAUUGCUGGUUUUCAGUGUCAUGCCAUUCGAAAUAGAUCAAAAUAAGAAAUCCAAAACCG
rnacentral:misc_RNA from 1 species